rnacentral:rRNA from 1 species
UUAGAGUUUGAUCAUGGCUCAGGACGAACGCUGGCGGCGCGCUUAACACAUGCAAGUCGAGCGAGAACCUGGCCUUCGGGCCUGGGGAAAGCGGCGAACGGGUGAGUAACACGUGGGUAACCCACCCUUGGUACCGGGAUAGCCCGAGGAAACUCGGAUUAAUACCGGAUGGCCCAACAGCUCUUCGGGGCGGUUGGAAAAGGUAGCUUCGGCCUCCGACCAAGGACGGGCCCGCGGCGGAUUAGCUUGUUGGUGAGGUAAUGGCCCACCAAGGCGACGAUCCGUAGCUGGUCUGAGAGGACGAUCAGCCACACUGGGACUGAGACACGGCCCAGACUCCUACGGGAGGCAGCAGUGGGGAGUCUUGCACAAUGGGCGAAAGCCUGAUGCAGCGACGCCGCGUGGGGGAAGAAGGCUCUCGGGUUGUAAACCCCUUUCAGGAAGGACGAAGCUACUCGGGUUAAUAGCCCAGAGGGUGACGGUACUUCCAGAAGAAGCCCCGGCUAACUACGUGCCAGCAGCCGCGGUACGC